rnacentral:rRNA from 1 species
CCUACGUGAGGCAGCAGUGGGGAAUAUUGGGCAAUGGGCGCAAGCCUGACCCAGCAACGCCGCGUGAAGGAAGAAGGCUUUCGGGUUGUAAACUUCUUUUAAGAGGGAAGAGCAGAAGACGGUACCUCUUGAAUAAGCCACGGCUAACUACGUGCCAGCAGCCGCGGUAAUACGUAGGUGGCAAGCGUUGUCCGGAUUUACUGGGUUUAAAGGGCGUGCAGCCGGGAAGACAAGUCAGAUGUGAAAUCCCGCGGCUCAACCGCGGAACUGCAUUUGAAACUGUUUUUCUUGAGUACCGGAGAGGUCAUCGGAAUUCCUUGUGUAGCGGUGAAAUGCGUAGAUAUAAGGAAGAACACCAGUGGCGAAGGCGGAUGACUGGACGGCAACUGACGGUGAGGCGCGAAAGCGUGGGGAGCAAACAGGAUUAGAUACCCGGGUAGUC